rnacentral:lncRNA from 10 species
UAGAGCUUAAAGUAUAAUAGAUGAAUGUUAAAAUAUUAUGUCCAUUCAAUAUCCUGUCUAUUCAAGAACCAGAGGUAAUACAUGUUGGGUUUUCAUAAGGGCCAGGUGAGGCCUGGGGCUAAAAGGCUGCUGGAGUCCCCUAAGGGGUCCUGAUGAGUUUCCCAGCAUCCAGUGAGCAGCUCUGCAGUGACAGGUGCUUCCUCAUGUUUCAUCCUGAACAUUCUCCUUCAAACUACUUCAUCUCUGCAGGAUAAUUCCACAGCCUCAAGCCAGGAAACUCCUCAGCAGCCCAGUUCCAGUGACUGAGUCCACUUUGAAGACACCUUGUUGUGGGCUGCCCAUACUGUGAGGCCUGUACCCAACCAGCCCACUGGCCUUCAGUUCCAUCAGGACUGGAAGCACCUGCACACAGAGCUGAAAAGCAAACCUUUUUUAUGACUGGACGUGAACAUGUGCCGUGAUAGCUAUGUCCAUAGAGUUCGGCCUCUCUGGACAUAAGCAGGUUGGUGAAGAGACAAGCAGAACAUAUCCAGCAUUGUGAAGAACCUCAGUGGUUGCCAUGAAAACCUCAAUGGUUGCCAUGAGAACUUCAGUGGUUGCCAUAAUGGGUCUUCCACUAGAAUGACACCCAGAGACACGCUACCUGUGCCCAUCCCCACUCAUUCUUCUCCACUGGAAAUGGAAUGACAUGCAAGUACUGCCUCUGGGAGAAGGAAGUGAGUAUGGAAGGAUCAGCUCCUUCUGAGCUCUCUUCUAUUGGUGCCUGACUGUCUGCCUGGCUGCAGAGAGGGCUUGUCCUGUGUGUGCUCAGGCCAUAUGGCCCAUGGUUCUCCAGCUGUGCCAG